UUCUCUCUUCUUGUCUAAGACUAAUGGCAGACACCCUUCUCAAACUGUUACUUCAACUACUCUGUACUUUUCCCCAUAGCUCAAGGGGGAUAACAUUUGUUGCGCAGCCAUGGAUAUGUUUGUUGAUGGUCAUUUAAUGUUUGGCAUGAACAUAUGACAUAAUGGUUAGAUGCCCAUCAACGAACACAUCCAUGAUAUAUUGCGUUCCUCUUCUCCUCACACACUCCUCUUUUGCUCCUCAAAACUUUUUUCCUUGGUAAGCCAGCUUUGUGUGGGUGCUUUCUGUAAUUUAUUUAUAUAGAAGAAUGUUUAUUAUUUUAGUUCUUUAUGCAUUUGUCCCCUCUCUUGCUUUGAAAAUCCUUGUAUCUUCGUUUCUAUGUUGCAAAAUUGAUACCCAUCGUGUCUGUAAUACAUUUCUUGGUUGGUGAUAUUUUCUUUGGAUUGUUAAGUGUGGCAGAACUGCAGAAGCUAUAUGUCAUAGGACAGCAAAACAUUCAGAACUCAGAACCUCGUUGUUCUUGUUGAAGAAUCUCUGCCUAUAAAAUGAAAUACCAAUUGUUAAUACUUAAAAAGGGCACAGAAAUUCAAAAGGGGAGAAAGAUCUAUUCAUGGCCCUGUUAAGGUUGUCCUGAGCUUGGAUCGGUGUUGUGCUGAGCCCCAGGCAGUGGUCUAGUAUGGUUGUACGAUGUCCGUGAGUAUAUCCAUGAUGGUAAACAGAUGAUAAAUGCGGGGAAAUAGAUCAAAUGAGACAUGCAGACUUAGGUGGUUUGGUACUAGGCUUAUGUCCACGGGAUUCAAAGAUGGGAGAAUCCAUUAUAAUAAACUUGUUUUAUAGUUUUUCAUGGUCUCUUAUCCUCACUGUAUAAUAGAUUCCGAAAGUCCGUCUUCUGGUGGAGAUCUCUUCGCUAAAAUCUCAGUCGUGAGGUUAAAGAAGCCUUCUUGGAGAAGUCUAACCGAAAAGUCUCUAAAGUCGUAUAUGCCCAUGCCUUUUAUCUCUUCACCCUUGCUUUAGGUCAUCCAUCCCUCUUUUGUGCCCUCUUCAUUCUUUUCCUCCUGACAUCCUGAUACCUUGUCUUCCCUUAUCCUUUCUAUGUCCCCUUUCAUUUUCUCAUUUUUUUUUUGUCUUCUAGUGAUUGUCUUUUGAUGGGUGGCCUUGAGAACCAUUUUGGAUCUAAUCUAUUUUACCCCCUUACACCAAUAUUUAUUGUUUGUGCAUUCUCUAUGUAUGAUGUAACUACUCAAGAAUUUCUCUGCAUUUGGUUCUAGUAAUUUAGUUUCAUAAGGUAUAAUCAAUGGAGAGAGUCAAAAACUAAUCUAUGGAUAUUUCUACAAACUGGUGUCUGUUGCUCAGGAAGCAUUUGAAGCCACUUGUUGGGAAGGCGAAUCCCCACCAUGUGCACAAAGGCUUCUGGGCUCAAUAAUUUCAAAGCGUGGAUGUUUCAUCUUUGUAGUGUUUGUUUUCACGAUCUUUCAGAGAUACAUACGCGUUGUUGCAUAAAGUCCCAGUAUUAUUGUUAGAUUUUGAUAGAGUAAUGAAAAACAGAGCUUUACACCUAUUCGAAGAAAUGCUUCAACGAAAGUAAAGUCUGUGUAAAACUCAUCAUUGUAUUACUAUUACUUUUCCAUAUUGAAUACAACCACAACAAUACAGAAUUUAUAGGCAUAUUUAUCCUAUAUUUCAGACUCAUUUACAUAAAGAAAAUAAUAAUAAAAGUCCUGUAUUCGGUUACAAAUA